GUGCGCGACGGGGCCAAGUCAGUUGUCAUGGCAACAAGCUAGCGGCGGCUGAAUCCAAGAUUUGGGGGCUCGUCCGGGAUCCCAUGCUCCAGUUGCUCGGCAUUUUUGGGAAAACGGAGAAGGUGCACCUCGCUGAUUUCGGCGGUCUCAAGUUUCCCUCCAUGCCGUGGUAACUUGGGCGAGCGUGAUCCGGACUGGGAGACCCUGGAAACAAGAUGGGCAGACGCGGCGGGUUCGGUCGGGUAACUCUUGUGUGCACAAGACCCGGAUUAUUUCAAGUGCUAUCCUGUAAAACAAUGGAGAAGAACAGUACCAGGCAUUCACUGAAAACAAAGGAUGAAAUUACAUAACUUAAGACGGUGAGUACUUUAUAUAGGGUGUAUGCUUGUGGAUCUAUUGAAAUAUUACUGGAGGAAAAUUACUUCUGAAUUGUAAAUAUGCUCUUUAUCUCUCAACUGGGUGAAAUAAAGCAUUGUUGCCUAGACAGACAUAAAUACAAACGUAUCUCUGUAAAACAAUUGUUUUAUUGUG